rnacentral:snoRNA from 1 species
AUACAUCUCUGACAGCACUGGAACAGUUCCUGUCUGCUGCUAAGGUUUCCACUACAGAAGCAAGAAAAAGAAGUCCUCGCGCUUUCUGUCUGUGGUUGUGGCAGCCAAAAUUGAAUGGGGGAAUACAUGA